GUUUUUUUUUUUUGGCUUAAAUGCCAAUGGCCAGGGACAGUUAACAAUUUGCGCAUUGGCCAUAAACUGCAGCUCAGAAAUGUUCCUGCUUUGCAUACGAAAUGUUAAGGAUGCUCUCGUCGUCCUGCGCUACAGCAGCACGUAGCUCGGCAAUUUUUCAGCCUGGAGUUUUGAGUUCAAGUAGCUGCUGCAAUGACGAUGCAUAAGUAGCAACAAUAAAUACAACAACAAUAACAACAAUAAAACAGCAGAUGAAUAAAGAGGAAGAACACAAGAUGGGGCAUCAGUUUUGAGAGAAAGAGAUAGCACGAAAGGUUCCACCUUAGAGCAGCAGUCGUUGUUGUUGUUGUUGUUGCAGAUCUCUUUUUCUUCUAGCUAUUGGGCGUCUUGACGUGCUGGCACUUUUUGGGUAGCCCAAGCACUUUAAUCUAAAUGUGAAUUGCACUUUGGCAGAGACGACUCGUAACACUCGACAGAUAUAUGCACAAC